GUCAUGGCAGUCUGAAUACAUAGGGCUGUCAAGCGACACCCGGGGAAGUGAAACAUCUCAGUACCCGGUGGAAGAGAAAGAAACCUCGAUUCCGUAAGUAGUGGCGAGCGAACGCGGAACAGCCCAAACCAGUCGGUUUACCGGCUGGGGUUGCGGGACCACAACAUGGGAUCUGGUGAGGAUAGCGGAACGUUCUGGAAAGUACGUCCAUAGAGGGUGAAAGGCCCGUACGCGAAAUCCAAACCAGCCCUAGUGGAAUCCCAAGUAGGACGGGACACGUGAAACCCUGUCUGAAUCCAGGAGGCCCACCUCCUAAGGCUAAAUACUCACUGAUGACCGAUAGUGAACCAGUACCGUGAGGGAAAGGUGAAAAGUACCCCUGCUAGGGGAGUGAAAUAGUACCUGAAACUGUGUGCUUACAAACUGUGGUAGUCCUGCUACGGCGGGAUGGCCGCAUGCCUUUUGUAUAAUGAGUCCGCGAGUUACCCUGUAUGGCAAGGUUAAGUUCCGGAAAGAACGAAGCCGAAGCGAAAGCGAGUGUGAAAUGCGCGUUAAGUCGUACGGGGUAGACCCGAAACCGGGUGAGCUACCCAUGGCCAGGAUGAAAGUCGAGUAAAAUCGAGUGGAGGUCCGAACCGUUGCGUGUUGAAAAACGCUCGGAUGAGCUGUGGGUCGGAGUGAAAGGCUAACCAAACCCGGUGAUAGCUGGUUCUCCUCGAAAUAGCUUUAGGGCUAGCCUGCGUGAAUGCUCGAAUCGGAGGUAGAGCACUGAUUGGAUGAUGGCCCUUACCAGGGUACUGACGCCACUCAAACUCCGAAUGCCGAUUCAGUCACACGUGGAGUCACACUGCGGGGGAUAAGCUUCGUAGUGGAGAGGGAAACAGCCCAGACCGCCAGCUAAGGCCCCUAAAGUAUGCUAAGUGCGUAAGGAUGUGAAAUUGCAUAGACAACUAGGAUGUUGGCUUAGAGGCAGCCACCAUUUAAACAGUGCGUAAUAGCUGACUAGUCGAGUGGUUUUGCGCCGAAAAUGAACGGGACUAAAGCAUACUGCCGAAGCUGCGGAUUUGAUUGAUCCACGGAUCAAUUGAGUGGUAGAGGAGCGUUGUGUACGGGUUGAAGCGUAAGGGUAACCGAACGUGGACUGUACCCAAGUGAGAAUGCGGACAUGAGUAACGAUAAGCUAAGUGAGAAUCUUAGCCGCCGAAAUCCCAAGGUUUCCUGGGGAAGGUUCGUCCGCCCAGGGUUAGUCGGCCCCUAAGCCGAGGCCGAAAGGCGUAGGCGAUGGGAAACAGGUUAAAUAUUCCUGUACCGUCGAUAGUGCGUUUGAGUGAUGGAGGGACGCAGGAAGUUAGGUCAGCCACCCUUUGGUUUGGGUGGUCUAAGCUUGUAGGAGGUCCGGUAGGAAAAUCCGCUGGACAUAUACUCUGAGAAGUGAUGGGACGUGGAGCCUUCGGGCAAAGCGGAUUGACUGAUACUAUGCUGCCAAGAAAAGCUUCUAAACGAGUACUAUAGGCGACCGUACCGUAAACCGACACAGGUGGGAUGGAAGAAUAUUCCGAGGCGCGCGAGAGAAACCUCGUUAAGGAACUCGGCAAAUUAGCCCCGUAUCUUCGGAAGAAGGGGUCCUCUUAGAUGUGAUCUUAUAUUCAUUUGUGAGCAUCUGGGAGGCGCAGUGAAAGGGCUCUGGCGACUGUUUACCAAAAACAUAGCACUCUGCUAACUCGUAAGAGGACGUAUAGGGUGUGACACGUGACCAAUGCCGAAAGGUUAAGGCAAGGGGUUAUUCCUUCGGGAAGAAGCUCUGAACCGAAGCCCCGGUGAAUGUGGUGAAUGUCGGCCGUAACUAUAACGGUCCUAAGGUAGCGAAAUUCCUUGUCGGGUAAGUUCCGACCUGCACGAAUCGUGUAACGAUCUGGGCGCUGUCUCAACGAGGAUCUCGGUGAAGUUGUAAUUCCGGUGAAGAUGCCGGAUACCCGCAGUAGGACGGAAAGACCCCGUGCACCUUUACUGUAUCCUGAUAUUGGUGUUUGGUUUGUCAUGUGUAGUAUAGCUGGGAGGCUUUGAAGUCAUCUCGUCAGGGAUGGUGGAGCCAUUAGUGAAAUACCAGUCUUGUCAAAGCGAGCAUCUAACCGUAGGCCAUGAAUCUGGUCGCGGGACAGUGUCAGGGGGUCAGUUUGACUGGGGCGGUUUCCUCCCAAAUUGUAACGGAGGAGUUCGAAGGUACCCUCAGCAUGGUCGGCAAUCAUGCGUAGAGCGUAUAGGUAGAAGGGUGCUUGACUGCGAGACUUACAAGUCGAGCAGGUGCGAAAGCAGGUCUAAGUGAUCCGGCGGUUGCUUGUGGUAGCGCCGUCGCUCAUCGGACAAAAGGUACUCCGGGGAUAACAGGCUUAUCGCUGCCA
rnacentral:rRNA from 1 species